GUACUAGUAACAGUACACCCAAAGUCAUCAUACAUUGUGUCACACAAUCCAUCGAGCAUGUUGAGUACUACACGUCUGGAGUAUCAGUACACAGAGUACACACAGCAAUACUCAUGUCUCUACCUGGUGGGUGUCCAAUGUAAAAGUGCUGCGGCGCCCCCUGCUGGGGGCCAUGUUGGGGGUUGGAGCCCCCGCCCUGCUGGGGGGAGACGUAGUGCAGCAUGACGGGGGGCAGGCCGUGAGCUGCAGAGUGCUGUCCGAUGGAGGGGAAGCCGUGGGGCAGCGGCUGGUGGCCCGGCAGGCUGUAGCCCUGCAUGGCGUAGGAGGCCUGGGGGGAGCUGUGGCCCGGCUGCAUGUUGGGGGGGGGUGGGGCCUGCAGACCUCCAGAGUGGAACAUGGACUGAGGCUGAGGACCAGCCUGACUUGACUGGGGGGGGGGGGCGGCAGGUUAGAGAUUUAACAUUAUCCUUCAUCGUCGUAUUACAUCCUGACGGAAGAAGCUUCUGGCGUGAACUACCUGGUUGUGUCCUGGACUGGGAGCAGUGUGCUGGGGGGGGGCUGGUUCCCGGUCGGGGUGCCGGAGGGCUGGGGGUGGUGCAUGGCCCCAGAGUGGUGAGCGAAGGUCUGAGCUGGAGGAGGAAGGACAUGUAGAUUUAAUAAAAGUUUUCUGUGCCUUUUUCCUUAAAAAGGGGGGCAAACAAAAACCUGGAUCCUGCUUACCAUACAUGGCCUGCUGGGGCCCCUCAGCCUGGCCGGGGUACUGGGGGCCAGGAGGACCCAUCUGUUGGGGGGGCCCCCCGGACGUCAGCAUCCUCGCUCCCCCCUGAAGCAUCGAGUAAACUGGCUGCAAACAGAGAUUUGAUCCCUUGAAUUAGAGACUAACAGCUGGUCGUGAGCUGGAACGAGGUUACCUGUCCGUGGUAGUGGGGGGGCAGGGCCUGGAUCACCUGACCGUACUGCAGGUAGGACUGGGGGUACGGCGAGGCCACCAGGGGGGGGGCGGCGGCCGAGGCGGCGGCCGAGAUCAUGGAGGACGCCUGGGAGGUGUGGUGCUCCGGGCGCUGACCCCCCACCGGGCCUGGAAGGGAAAAACACACCAUCCCUGGGUAACAGUUCCCACAAUGCUUUGGGGGAUGAGGACAGGUAGGUCUCUCCCUGGAGGUUUUUAUCAGAAAUGAUGUCACAUAUCAGUUGAUCCAAACGUGACCCUUUUAUCCCCCCGUGUGACCGGACCCCCCGGACCCCCCCCGUGUGCGUACCUUUGGCUCUGGGGUAUUUGCCCUGGUUGACAGUCGACAUGGUGUACUGAUACAUGUGAGGAGCCUGAGGAGGAGACGAGUUUGUUAGUUUAAAUGUUCAUUUAAAUGAUCCGACGGAGCAUCGAUGGGUUUUUCCUGAGUGCUGCAACAAUAUAAAACACACCGAUGUCUGAACGCUGCUUGAACCAACGCUUUUUUGACUUCACAUGAUGGACAAUACAUGAAGAGCUCACAGAAUAAGUCUCUGUAAGAGCCGGAAGGGUUUGUAUCACUUCUUGGAAUAUUAAUCGUUUCAUUUACGUUGUAAAUGUAACAUAUACUGAGAGCAUUUGUGUCGGAUUGAAGCUCCCUGGGUCUCGAUUUAUUGGCGUCAUGUUGCAGAAGAGCUGCGUUUAUCUGCUGAGACGCUUUGCUGCGUAAAAUAAAGACAAAACGAGGAGAAUGAGAUGAUUCAUUCAUUCAGUCUGCAGCUCAUUGACAAACAAGGAAGGAACGCGGCUCCGCCCCCAGGUUACUGCGCCCCCAGGUUACUCCGCCCUCGGUUUACUGCGCGGAACACAUUGGAAAGUGUCGGCGUCGCGUACGGAGCCGAUGGACGAAGAGAGACGUGCUGCUCGUCGCCCUUAAAUCCAGGUGGGUGGUGAGGUUUUUUUGGCCAGGCAGUGCAUGUAUUUGUAUUUGUAUUUGUAUACACAUGUGUGUAUAGUUCAGACCUGGAUCUGGUGUCCCUGGAUGUGGAGGGGGGAGACGUAGGACAGGUAAUGUCCAGGUGGGUUGCCGUAGAUGGCUCCUCCCCCUGGCUGUCCCUGAGGAGCCAGGACCAAUGAGGGGCUGGGGGGCGUGGGUCGAGGGGGGGUGGGGGUCGGCGCCGGCUUCUGUCACAACGCACAGAGAGAGACGGAUCAACAAAGACCGACGAGUGAAGCUGAGCUUCAGCAGGACUCACCUGGACCGGGGGCACCUUCACGGGGAGGAACUCCUUGGCGUUGGGGUUCAGGGUGGAGUUCUUCACUUGGCUGCCAUGAAAAGACGUUCAGCAACAAAAAGCAAAUGUUAAGAAGGAGUUUGUGUCCCAGAGGCAAGCUAAGCUAAGCUAAGCUAAGCUAAGCUAACCCGCUACGACCUCCUGCUGCAGAGCUCUGAUUGGCCCAGACGCGUCUUUGUUCACGUCGAGCUCCAGCAGGAUGCCGCGGUUCGUUACUCACGCUGUGGCUGCGGCUUCGGGUCGCUCGCCUCGCUCUUCGCCGCCGGGGGGCGUCGGCUGCUGCCCCUCCGGCGCCGGACCCUCAGGCCCGGAGGAUACGCCUUGGUGGGGGUCUUGGGCGGAGGAGGAGGAGGCAGGUUUGGGCGGGGCGGGGGCGGCGCUGUGCUGAGGAGGCUCGGCGGAGGCGGGGCUUGCUGACGGACAGGAGGCGGGCUGCAGCUGAGAGACGGAGCGAUGAAGCGGUGAAUGAGUCAUAUGACAGUAAUGUUCUCACAUGAGGUACUUCUACACAGUCUGUGUACUAAUGCAGUACAUCAGAACAUCCUAACAGGAAACCUAUCUUGUACUAUUGUGUACGGAUCAUUUUAUGAUUAGAACACAUUGAUUCAUGUUUUACUAUUGAUCUGUGAUAAUUAAAGCGCACUGAUCAGCAACAUUAAUUCAAACAUAUUAAAGUGUUUCUGGUUCCUUCAUUGAGAAAACAGUUUAUGUUCUGACCCUUUGAAACACAAACACACUUAUCCAUGAAGUCUGAUGUACACAACUGCCCC
ensembl:lncRNA